UCCAGAUCCCUCAAAUCCCCACUUCCAGGUAUGACAUCAUCCACGCCGAUGAAAAAUGGAGAAGAAGACGCCAUCCCCACCCUAUUUAUCAUCCUUUCACCACCACAACAACAACAUUCAACACAAAAUCUCUCUGUUUUCCGAUCUCUUUUUUCUGGCAACUCACUGCCGUAAUCCGCCAUGGUGACCACUCAGAAUCGAUAGAACACGUUCGAUUUUCCCAAAUCGCAUCCCUCAUUGACAAUCAAAUUCGUGUUUGGAGAUGAUACGAAAGAGAUGAUUAACAAAUCUUGAAAAAAUGGAUGCUUCAUCCCCUGAAGUCCUGAACAACAAAUCUUGAAAAAAUGGAUGCUUCAUCCUAUUCUCGUGCUGACCAGGUGGAUCCCAUACUCAAAAUAGGAGAAAAUGACUGACCUAUGUUACCAGUUAGUCGAUAUACAUGAGGACGCUACUGAAACAGUGGGAAUGACAAGUACAAACUACAUGAUGUUGUUGCCCAUCUAAAACAUGUUAAGGCUACCUACUGAAAAAGAGCUUGCAAUGGUUGUACCAAAGGAUGUUAUGAAAACUCACUUCUAUGAAUUCACACUUUUAACUGUCUACAAGGCAUACCUCCAGAAGCGAAGCUGAUGUUAUUGGAAAAGGUAUUUGGUUUAAGCUGCGAUCUACACACCAGUGGAUUACAAUAAACGACCACUUGAUACGAUUUACAUCAGCUACGUGUAAGAUAGGCUACCUUGCUGUUGGCUGCUGGUGCAUAGGGAAGCUGUUCAACUAUGCCCUCGAGCGCGCCUUUUUAAGCCAAGUUAGUGCUAAAUUAUUCUAAAGGAGAUGUGAACUACAUGUUCUGUGCAAAGCAGGUCUGAAGUUCAAUCAACAGAAGCUUCAUCACAACAAGCAGCUGAAGAAUCUUUGGAAACUCCUCUAUUGAAGGAUCAGGUACAUUGUGUCACACCCCGAUAUUUCCACGUAUUACCGGUGGGCCCGAUGGGGAGUAGCGUGACGUAGUUGAUAUCAUCAUAUACAAUUUACCACAGUUUAAUACACUGCGGAAGUCGAAAGAUAAAACAUUACAAACCGAAUAAAAGUAAUAUCAAUUAUUACAGAAAUGGUUGUAAGGGAUCCACAGGCGGAUCAAAGUUAAAAAGGACAUUGUUCAACAGAUUUGUAAACAU